CGCGUGGUACGCGUCAGAGUCCAGCAACCCCACUCUCCGCGGGGAAGCCAAGCAGCCCCCUCCCCUUCCCUCUCUCCCUCCCUAUCCCCUGCCAAAUGCUGAGCCGCGUCUGGUGGUGACAGGGUCAGGUUGUGGGUGGCGUUGCAUCGGUGCGACCCAAGCGUAUCGCAGCUGGCCCCUCGCUGCCCACUGGUGCGGGUAACCUGUGCGCCACCCCGAGGGGGAUGCACCACGUGGCGACUGCCAUGGUGGGAGCGGCGGUGAGGCGGCCUGCGGGGCGGGUGAUUUGGUGGAGUUGGAGGCGGGGGAGGGGGGGCUCUGCUCAGGUGGCCGGCUCGGCGCAGUUGCUGCAACGCGUGUGUGCCCACGGCUGCUUCGCACCACGCGAUGGGGG
rnacentral:misc_RNA from 1 species